CAUUACAGAGUUAUCCAACUCCCAAACCCAUGUGAACUUAUCUCUUUGUUGCCUCGGCGCAAGCUACCCGGGACCCAGCGCCCCGGGCGGCCCGCCGGCGGACAAACCAAACUCUUGUUAUCUUAGUUGAUUAUCUGAGCGUCUUAUUUAAUAAGUCAAAACUUUCAACAACGGAUCUCUUGGUUCUGGCAUCGAUGAAGAACGCAGCGAAAUGCGAUAAGUAAUGUGAAUUGCAGAAUUCAGUGAAUCAUCGAAUCUUUGAACGCACAUUGCGCCCAUUAGUAUUCUAGUGGGCAUGCCUGUUCGAGCGUCAUUUCAACCCCUAAGCACAGCUUACUGUUGGGACUCUACGGCCUCCGUAGUUCCCCAAAGCGAUUGGCGGAGUGGCAGUAGUCCUCUGAGCGUAGUAAUUUUUUAUCUCGCUUUUGUUAGGUGCUGCCCCCCCGGCCGUUAAACCCCCCCAAUUUUUUCUGGUUGACCUCGGAUCAGGUAGGAAUACCCGCUGAACUUAAGCAUAUCAAUAAGCGGAGGAAAAGAAACCAACAGGGAUUCCCCUAGUAACGGCGAGUGAAGCGGGAACAGCUCAAAUUUGAAAUCUGGCCCUUGGGUCCGAGUUGUAAUUUGUAGAGGAUGCUUUUGGUGCGGUGCCUUCCGAGUUCCCUGGAACGGGACGCCUUAGAGGGUGAGAGCCCCGUACGGUUGGACGCCUAGCCUCUGUAAAGCUCCUUCGACGAGUCGAGUAGUUUGGG
rnacentral:rRNA from 1 species